UGGGCGAAAGCCUGAUCCAGCAAUGCCGCGUGCAGGAUGAAGGCCUUCGGGUUGUAAACUGCUUUUGUACGGAACGAAAAGCUUCGGGUUAAUACCCUGGAGCCAUGACGGUACCGUAAGAAUAAGCACCGGCUAACUACGUGCCAGCAGCCGCGGUAAUACGUAGGGUGCAAGCGUUAAUCGGAAUUACUGGGCGUAAAGCGUGCGCAGGCGGUUUUGUAAGACAGAGGUGAAAUCCCCGGGCUCAACCUGGAAACUGCCUUUGUGACUGCAAGGCUAGAGUACGGCAGAGGGGGAUGGAAUUCCGCGUGUAGCAGUGAAAUGCGUAGAUAUGCGGAGGAACACCGAUGGCGAAGGCAAUCCCCUGGGCCUGUACUGACGCUCAUGCACGAAAGCGUGGGGAGCAAACAGGAUUAGAUACCCUGGUAGUCCACGCCCUAAACGAUGUCAACUGGUUGUUGGGUCUUAACUGACUCAGUAACGAAGCUAACGCGUGAAGUUGACCGCCUGGGGA
rnacentral:rRNA from 1 species